AUUCCCUGAGUAGCGGCGAGCGAAACGGGAAAAGCCCAAACCAACAAGCUUGCUUGUUGGGGUUGUAGGACUCCGAUAUGGUAGUCUAUUCAGAUAGUCGAAAUACUUGGAAAAGUAUGUCAAAGAGGGUAAAAACCCCGUAGGCGAAAUUUGGAUAACACCUAGGAGGAUCCUGAGUACGGCGGAACACGAGGAAUUCCGUCGGAAUCCGGGAGGACCAUCUCCCAAGGCUAAAUACUCCCUAGUGACCGAUAGUGAACCAGUACCGUGAGGGAAAGGUGAAAAGCACCCCGGAAGGGGAGUGAAAUAGAUCCUGAAACCGUGUGCCUACAACAAGUUAGAGCCCGUUAAUGGGUGAUAGCGUGCCUUUUGUAGAAUGAACCGGCGAGUUACGAUAGCAUGCGAGGUUAAGUUGAAGAGACGGAGCCGCAGCGAAAGCGAGUCUGAAUAGGGCGAAUGAGUAUGUUGUCGUAGACCCGAAACCAUGUGAUCUACCCAUGUCCAGGUUGAAGGUGCGGUAAAACGCACUGGAGGACCGAACCCACGUACGUUGAAAAGUGCGGGGAUGAGGUGUGGGUAGCGGAGAAAUUCCAAACGAACUUGGAGAUAGCUGGUUCUCUCCGAAAUAGCUUUAGGGCUAGCCUCGGAAUUGAGAAUGAUGGAGGUAGAGCACUGUUUGGACUAGGGGCCCAUCUCGGGUUACCGAAUUCAGAUAAACUCCGAAUGCCAUUCAUUCAUAUCCGGGAGUCAGACUGUGAGUGAUAAGAUCCAUAGUCGAAAGGGAAACAGCCCAGACCACCAGCUAAGGUCCCCAAAUAACUAUUAAGUGGAAAAGGAUGUGGGGUUGCACAGACAACUAGGAUGUUGGCUUAGAAGCAGCCACCAUUUAAAGAGUGCGUAAUAGCUCACUAGUCGAGUGACCCUGCGCCGAAAAUGUACCGGGGCUAAAUAGUUUACCGAAGCUGUGGAGUGCACCAUCAGGUGCAUUGGUAGGAGAGCGUUCUAAGGGCGUUGAAGGCAGAUCGUGAGGACUGCUGGAGCGCUUAGAAGUGAGAAUGCCGGUAUGAGUAGCGAAAGACAGGUGAGAAUCCUGUCCACCGAAUGACUAAGGUUUCCUGGGGAAGGCUCGUCCGCCCAGGGUUAGUCGGGACCUAAGCCGAGGCCGACAGGCGUAGGCGAUGGACAACAGGUUGAUAUUCCUGUACCCGUUGUUUUUGUUUGAGCAAUGGAGGGACGCAGGAGGCUAAGAAGUGCAGACUGAUGGAUAUGUCUGUUCAAGCAGUAAGUCUUGGUAGGAGUCAAAUGCUUCUACCUAUACGGACAAGCUGUGAUGAGGAGGGAAAUAAUAGUACCGAAGCUUCUGAUGUCACACUGCCAAGAAAAGCUUCUAGUGAGAAAACAACGGCCCGUACCGCAAACCGACACAGGUAGUCGAGGAGAGAAUCCUAAGGUGAGCGAGAGAACUCUCGUUAAGGAACUCGGCAAAAUGACCCCGUAACUUCGGGAGAAGGGGUGCUGCUCUAACGAGCAGCCGCAGUGAAUAGGCCCAAGCGACUGUUUAUCAAAAACACAGGUCUCUGCAAAAUCGAAAGAUGACGUAUAGGGGCUGAC
rnacentral:rRNA from 1 species